GACCCUGGGCCAGGGAAAGAAAUGAAUGAAGAUGCCACCUUAUGCCCAGAACGCUUCUCUCAUUCAAUGAUAAAGGCUUUGUGGUUGGGUCAACUUUUGUUAUGCUCAACUCUUUCCUUCGUAAGGAUGGGCUCUUUCCUCA
rnacentral:lncRNA from 1 species